GCCAACAAAAUUCAAACUUGACUUGUGUUUUGUGGUUGCGUAUAAGUUUCAUAAAAUUUGGUUCAGGCAAACUAAAGUAAGAGAACAGAAAUCAAUUUUGGGAUGUAUGGACGUACGUACAAGUAAGGGACGUACAUACUAACAGAAAAAAAACAAGGAUAAAACUCAAUAUGGUGGGGGCAUAACAAUAGUAGUAUGACCUCA
rnacentral:lncRNA from 1 species